GCCUACGGGGGGCAGCAGUAGGGAAUCUUCCACAAUGGGCGAAAGCCUGAUGGAGCAACGCCGCGUGGGUGAAGAAGGUCUUCGGAUCGUAAAACCCUGUUGUUAGAGAAGAAAGUGCGUGAGAGUAACUGUUCACAUUUCGACGGUAUCUAACCAGAAAGCCACGGCUAACUACGUGCCAGCAGCCGCGGUAAUACGCAGGUGGCAAGCGUUAUCAGGAUUUAUUGGGCGUAAAGGGAACGCAGGCGGUCUUUUAAGUCUAAUGUGAAAGCUUUCGGCUUAACCGGAGUAGUGCAUUGGAAACU
rnacentral:rRNA from 1 species